rnacentral:rRNA from 1 species
UACGUAGGAGGCAAGCGUUGUCCGGAAUUACUGGGUGUAAAGCGCGUGUAGGCGGCAGGCUAAGUCUGUGGUGAAAUCGCUCGGCUCAACUGGGCGGGGUCCAUGGAAACUGGUCAGCUGGAGGACGGUAGAGGUGAGUGGAAUUCCCGGUGUAGUGGUGAAAUGCGUAGAGAUCGGGAGGAACACCCGUGGCGAAGGCGGCUCACUGGGCCGGUCCUGACGCUGAGACGCGAAGGCGUGGGGAGCGAACGGG